AAAAUACGCAGCAAGAAUCUGGAAUGGAUACAUCAAAUGAUCUGAAUGGCGCUCCAAAUUUAUCCUCAGGGCGAGACAACACUCAAACACGAAGGGUGACAAGGGGCUCUGUAUCAUCAUCAAGG